AGCAGGACUGGCGUAGGGAAACAUGGCUUUCCCUCUCCCGGCCUUCCGCCCGCAUCGCUCCCGCCCUGGGCAUGGCCCGGGGGACCCUCCCGACCCCGCCUGGCUCCUCUGACUCUUUCCACGGUUUUCGAUUUCCCUGGCCUGGGAGACUCUUCCAGCUGCUUUCCCUCCACCCUGAGAACAACCUGGAGUUUGCCAAGAGGAAACUCCUGCGAGGGGAUGGACACCCGCCCUGGCUGCUGCUGGCAAGAGGUGGCAACCAUUCGAGCCAGGAGUUGAUGGAGAGAGGAGGACACGUCCCUGGAGGGAAAGUAACACUCGGAGCUCCGUGCGGGGCCAGAGAGGUCUGCAACAGGCAGCUGCAAAAGGAGCCGGCAGCCGCGGUGCCCAGUGCCUACGAGUUACUAGGCGCAUCGUUGCGUCCCUCGCAGCGCCGGGGGCUUGCUCCGAGCACACUCGAGGGCCUGCGAGCAAUGUUUUUCAGCAGGACUUACCUUUCUCUUCGGCAUAAUGACUACGUGGGUGCAGCAAAAAGUAAAGCAACGGGCUGGGCCGCUUGGCACGCCGCUGGAUGCUGCCUAGCCGCUGCAGCUGCUCCCGCAAUGGGCUCGGCUAGCCCGGCCUCUCCGACCUGCACCUCCGCUUCCUCCCCCGGCGCUCCACUCGCUCGCAUCCCGGUCCUCCAAUGGCGAGCCCCGCCAGCCGGCCGCGAGGCCCCAUUGGCUGAGGGAACGUUCUAAAUUCCACGAGGGCACGCCCACCCCUGCUCACCCGGGCUUCCCGUGUCCAUGACUGGAAUAAAAGUUCUGCUCUCAGAGAUGCUGGAGGUUGAGAAGGGCAGGAGGAGCCUGUAGUGUGGGGAGGUGACCUUUCAGGCUACAUAAUCGAGUUAAGCAGAAAUUUCUACCACUGAUUGGAACAUUGGAGACACUGGAAUCCUUUGCGUGUGGUCUUCACCAGCAUCCUCAGUUCUAGAAUUCAGCACUGACUGCUACCGCGCGGCUCCCUUGUGCCACCACAAACCAACUCAGGACCGGCCCUGCUGGGUUUGCUCUCCUCAAACUAUCUGUUGCUGCCAAUGAUAAAGAGCUACCUCGGGGUUAUCUUUACCGUCCCUGGUCUUUCUCAAGCAAGUGUCCUCAUUCUCUAUCUUAACAGGAACUGCUCGUUCCAGUGGCUGACAACAGCCUUCAUACACCCUUCACUUAGACAAUGGCAACCCACUUCCUAAUCUCGUCUCUCGCCCUGGCUUACGUCUUCGCAACAGUCCUGUGGAGCAUGCGCUCUUCUUGCUAUCUCUUGAACAGUGACUUGCCCUCUCCCCAGAUCUGAGCUAUUACAGGGAGCUGAGAUUUCACCACAGGAAGAGGAAAGCCCCAAAUCUCCUGUAUAACUUCCUGCAACACAGGCCCCAGAUGAGUAAUGACAGCAAUCAUUUCUCCUUAGUUCUCACCACAACCUCGGGGAAGAAGUAGCUUUGUCUCCAUCUCUGGAUUUCUCUAGGAACCAAACUCAAGAGUCACCCAUAGGCCAGGUGUACGCCAAAGGCUUCUCUGUCAUCACACAGACCCUGGGAAAACAAAGAUCAUUCAGUUCUUCUGAAGUGCCAAGAGCUUCCAGAACUGGGGUUGAAUUGUAAGCCAACAAACACUUCUAGUGCUUGCCAAGAUGCUUUCCUGCUGAGAACUCACAGCAGCUGCUGUCCCAAGAAAGCUGCAACUGCCUGCCUGAUUGCUGUUGUCCUGAGAGGGACUUGCCUGAACUUCAACACAAAUACUUUACUUCCUGCCUGCCUCUUGGAGGAGGCUUGCUAUUACCCUAUUCUCAUCCAAAUUCCACUCAGCCAUACCUGGAAGCUUGCCCUUUUGCAGCUGCACCUGGGUAAUGCUCUUUCUGCAUUAUACCUGGAAACAUGCCCUUUUGCAGCUGCACCUGGAUAAUGCUCUUUCUGCAUUAUACCUGGAAGCAUGUCCUUUUGGAGCUGCUCCUGGAUGCAUCUGCAGCUUCACUUUGAAGCAUACCCUUUUGCAGCUGCACUUGGAUGCAUGUCCUUUCUGCAGCUGCACUUGGAUGCAUGUUCUUUCUGCAGCUGUACUUGGAUGCAUGCCCUUUCUGCACCUUCACUUUGAAGCAUGCCCUUUUGCAGCUGCAAUUGGAUACAGGCCUUUUCUGCAUUGUACCUGGAAGCAUGCCUUUUUGCACCUGC